GACGAACGCUGGCGGCGUGCCUAAUACAUGCAAGUAGGACGCAGUUGCGAACGGGUGAGUAAAGCGUAGGUAACUACCUAUUAGAGGGGGAUAACUAUUGGAAACGAUAGCUAAUACCGCAUACUAGUAGAUGGACCUGCGGUGUAUUAGCUAGUAGGUAGGGUAAUGGCCUACCUAGGCAACGAUACAUAGCCGACCUGAGGGGGUGAUCGGCCACACUGGGACUGAGACACGGCCCAAGCUCCUUCGGGAGGCAGCCGUAGGGAAUCUUCGGCAAUGGGGGGAACCCUGACCGAGCCACGCCGCUUGAGUGAAGAAGGUUUUCGGAUCGUAAAGCUCUUUUGUUAAGGAAGCGGUACUUAACCAGAAAGGGACGGCUAACUACGUGCCAGCAGCCGCGGUAAUUC
rnacentral:rRNA from 1 species